AGACGUCUACAUUAGACUACCCGGUAGUCCCAGCCGUAAACUAUGCGCGUUAGGUGUAUCGGUGACCACGAGUCACCGAGGUGCCGAAGGGAAACCGUGAAACGUGCCGCCUGGGAAGUACGGUCGCAAGGCUAGAAACUUAAAGGAAUUGGCGGGGAGCACCACAACGGGUGGAGCCUGCGGUUUAAUUGGACUCAACGCCGGGAAGCUCACCGGAUAAGACAGCGGAAUGAUUGCCGGGCUGAAGACUCUGCAUGACUAGCUG
rnacentral:rRNA from 1 species